GUGGGGAAUUUUCCGCAAUGGGCGAAAGCCUGACGGAGCAAUACCGCGUGAGGGAUGACGGCCUAUGGGUUGUAAACCUCUUUUUUCAGGGAGGAAUAAAUGACGUGUACCUGAAGAAUAAGCAUCGGCUAACUCCGUGCCAGCAGCCGCGGUAAGACGGAGGAUGCAAGUGUUAUCCGGAAUCACUGGGCGUAAAGCGUCUGUAGGUGGUCAAAUAAGUCAACUGUUAAAUCUUGAGGCUCAACCUCAAAAUCGCAGUCGAAACUAUUAGACUAGAGUAUAGUAGGGGUAAAGGGAAUUUCCAGUGGAGCGGUGAAAUGCGUAGAGAUUGGAAAGAACACCGAUGGCGAAGGCACUUUACUGGGCUAUUACUAACACUGAGAGACGAAAGCUAGGGUAGCAAAUGGGAUUAGAUACCCUAGUAGUCC
rnacentral:rRNA from 1 species